rnacentral:lncRNA from 1 species
AGGUUUCUUCUUUGCUGCCAGUGGGCCCUUCACACCUCUUUUGGGAGCCUGUAGUAAACAUAAAGAUAAGCCAACGAAUCAAAAAAAGGGAAAGAAACCAAAGAACAUCAUUCCAAAAUAUGCAUAUCAAGAACAGAGCUGAUCAAAACAAUGGGUAAAAAUACCAUGUUUUUGGUCUUUUCCACCAAUAUAUACCCUGUAUGGUGCUUGUAAAUGCAACAUUUCUACACUACACCCUCAAAAAGUCCUCCAUCAUCCACCAAUUUCCAAACCAUAUCACAUAGCCUCACAGCAGAGAUAUCAAAAAUAACAAAAUGCAAUGAAACUUCAAUUCAUACAACAAGAAGCGCAGCUAUUAACUAACACCCCAAUAAAAACAAACCAGCAGAAUCUCCAAAAAAUAUUCACUCAAGAAAAUUAAGUUUUUUGGGUACUUUUAAUACUUUUUUUUCCAAUUAAGUUUUCUGCCUUACCACACACAGUACAAAAAAAAACACUAGAAAGACUAAGAUUUCAGUCUAUUCACAUAGAGAAGUAAGAUUAUACACCCUCCAUCCCAACAAAAAUAAAAGCAUCGGCGUCAAAAAAAAAAAAAAAAGAGUACAAUUUGACACUAGAAAAUCAUCAGUUAAGCCUUUUGAGCACAAGAUAGACAACGUUGAAAGAGAAAAACGAAAGAGGCAUGAAAGAUGAGUAAUAUAUGUUACCAUCUAGAAGAGGAGACUUGCAGAUCGAAAACCUGAACGUGUUUGAGGUGAAAAGGGGUAGAGGCAGAAGAGUAGCAAAAGCGGCUGCUUUAGUAGGGUUUGCCCAAACCCUAAAUUGUUCUUUCAGUUUACAUUUUGGUCCCUUCAGUAUGCUAAUUGGUUUAUUUUACUUCUACUUUGUUAAGCCCUACCUUCUUCUUAAAAUUUGAUCAACUAUCAAAUUUUCUCAAUUCCUUAUAUAUAUAUAUAUAUGUAUAUAUAUAUAUUAUUUUUUCAAAGAGAAUUUUCUCUUUAUAUUAAAAAUUAAUAUAAAGAGAAAAUUAUCUUUGAAAAAAUAAUAAUAAAUAUUUUAAUGUUUUUUUUUAUGAACAACAAAAUGUUAGCUUUGAUUAUUUUUAUCAAAUAUAUUAUUGCUUUGUUUGUUGAUGUUAUACUCUUUACCGAUAUAAAAGUUCCAAGUUUUUCAUCCUUGGUAUUAGACUUUUAUUUUGAAGGUUUUAAUUUUUUUAUGGUUUUUUCUAAUUUAAUAUUUAUCUAAUUUUUAAAAUAUUUUAUAUUUUUCUCUUUAUUUUUUUAAUGUAAACUAAAAAUAAAUCCUAAUUUUGUAUCUUAUUUUUAGAUGUUAAUUAGGCAUCUAUAUUUCUCUUUACCUCGUUUUUGAUUUUUCACAAUGGUUACUUAUGUUACUUAUACGUGUUUUUAUAUUUUAUAUUUUAUAUUUUAUAUAAAUUUUAUUUAAAUUGUGUUUGCUAAUUUCUUUUUGACUUAACUAAUCUAGUAUUUUUUUUUUAUUCUAAUCUUAUGGUUUAGUGCUUUGACUAGUAGUAAUAUCUUAUAUUGGCGGGUAAGGAAAUGGUAACUGGUCUUAUUAAGAGUAAUGGUUGUUGACUUGUCAUAUAUGUUUUGAGGCAUCAAGCUUAAAAGUGGAUUCGUAUCACUAGAAAUAAAAUUAUAAGGGCGGUAAGAUCCAAAGCGGACAAUAUAUGACAAGUUGGAUUGAGCUUUUAUAGUUAAUAUCAAAACCGACCUCACUUGCUGUCCGGUUGUGCUGAUAGGGUCGUCAGACUCCUUAAGAGGAGUGGAUUGUAAUAUCUUACAUCAAUCGAUGAGAAAGUGGUAACUGGUCUUAUUAAGAAUGUUGGUUGCUAACUUGUCAUACACGUUUAGGGGCGUCAAGCUUACAAGUGGGCUCACAUCAUUAAGAACAAAUUGUGAAAGCGAUAAGGCCUAAAACGUAUAAUAUAUAACAAGUUGGGUCGGCUUGUUAUACUAAUUAUGUGACCUGCACUCUAUUGUGGAUCAAAUAAUAAAAAUAAAAUAAAAGAAGCCCCUUAAAGAAAAAGGAUGUUUUUGCUAUUUUUUUUUAGUUUUUUUAACCCGUCAUGUCACUUUAUUUUGUAUUUAAACCAUAUGAAAAAUAUAAAAAAAAAUUAAGGGUUUAGGGUAGGAUAAAAAACACAUUAAAAAAAGAUCUCUUUCAAGUUUUUGCUAGAUCACCCGAGUUUUGGGUUAACUUCACAGGUCAACUGGUUUAUUCAGGUCAAUAGUAGGCUCAAAUUUUGAAUGAAAGAGAUUUACUUAAUGCUGAUGGGCUUGGCCUCCUAGCAGGACCCAAAGCAUUGGGUUUUGCUUUUGACAUGACCCAAACUAUUGGGUCCUAUUUAACAAAGAGUUCAAAAAUAUUAGGCUUUAGUGGUAGAAGGGUCUAACUAAACAUUAGGUCACGAUGGUAGGCAAAACCUAAAGUUGUUGGGUCUAGUGGCAAUAAUGUCCAAUUAGAUGUUGAGUCUUGGUGAGAUGGGAGUGAAGACCCAAAGCUGUUGAGUCUUGGUUUUUGCUGGAACAAGACCUAAUAUUGAAAGGUCCUAUUAGCACUGAUGGCAUACUCCAAAUAGGACCCAAUGUUGAUGGGUCCUAUUAAAGGUAAGAUCCAAAGCUGAAGGAUCCUGAUUGCAAAAAGAUCUAAAAUGGAUAGGUCUACUUCCAGCAAGACUCAACUCAAAUGGAUCCUACUCUUAGAUGGACCCAAAAUUAUUUUAGAUCUUCUAGCUUCCCCAAGGACUCAAUGGCAUGAGGCCCUUCUGUAUCCAUUAGAGUUGGGUCUUGUCCUUAAUAGGACUUAAGUGAGCUACUACAAUGAAUGUUUAUUGAAAAAAAAUAAAAAAGGAAGCUGCUUGAUGAACAAUUAUUAAGUAAAGUAUCAACCUGGUAUCAAAUCCCAGAUAAAAUUAAAAUGCAUUUAAAAAUGCUUAAAUACAACUCUAAUAGAAAUAUUUAACCUUUGAAAAUCAAAUCUCAUUUUAUUUAUUUUUGAAUAGUUUUUUUUUUCAUUUGAAAUAAUAAAAUAUUGAUAAAAUUUUGAAUAUCAUACAUUAAUGUUGUGAAAUUAAAAUGUCUUUUAUCACCCAAAAUUAAAUUAUAUUGGGUAAUAUUAUUCUAACAUUAUAUAAUAUUAUACCAUACAUAUAAUAAGUAUGUUAUUUUAAUCUUUGUAAAUUUAUAAUGAAGAGAAAGUCAUCAUCGGCUCUCCAAAUCCAUCCCUCGACUUAUUAUUAUUAUUAUCAUCCAUACCUAUCUUCUACAAAAUGCAAUGGGCUGUAAGUAAGACCACAAGGCAAGAAGAUCAAAAGCUUAACAAAUUAUCAAAAGACGAGCAAACAAAUAUAUUUUUGGAAGCGUAACAGCAUUCUAUGAAUGCAUGCCAUCUUUAUUACAUUUUAUACUGUAACUGUGAAAAACAAAAGAAUUACACAAAGCAAUCUUGGAUGCCAUCUGGGUGCAUGGCAUCUUUAUUCAAAUUUAUUAAUUCGCGUCUAAUUGAUUUUCUGGGUAAUCUAGUGUGCAAAUAAAGAUCAGCAAGAUGAAACAAGAUGCCACCCCAUGCAGUCAAACCUAUGGGGAUUUUUUUUACUGGACAUGCCGCCACCCAAUUGCAUUCUCUACUGUACAUUUCUCAGCACCUCCCUCCUUGUAAAUAUUUAUAAUUUUAGUAUAAUUUCGAUCUUUUUAAAACAAUUUUUUCAAUUUAACCUCCUUUAAUUUUUUGUUCUUGCUCCGCUCUUCAGUGAAGGUUAGUAGAGUGAAUUUGAAUUGAUUCAAUUUUCUUUUUUUUUUUAUGUUUCUUAGUUUUAGAUUAUUAUUUUUUUAAUUUUAUAAUUUAAAAUUAUGUUAUUGAAACUUAAGAUUUGUGAUUUUUUAUGCUUUCUUUUACGAGAGGGUAUCUUAAUUUCAUAUCUUUAGUCAACGUUAAACAAUUUAACCAAAGUAGAGCACUAAUAAAAAAAAAACCUAGUUUUCUCUUUACUCGUUACAGUCAGCACAACAAUAUUCUGUUGGGAGAUUUGCAUUAUGAAAUCACUUGGUCGCAUAUAAGCCUGCAUACAUGUGUGAAUAAAAAAAUUAAAAAAUCAAUUAAAUUGAGAAAAUUAGAACAAAAUAAUUGAAAAAAUCAAAUCGAAAAAACUAAUUAAACUAAUUAAAAUUUUGAAAAACCCAGCCGGUUCGGUAAGCCAAGCCAAACCGGAAAAAUUAAGCCAAACUAGAAAAAUCGAGUAAAAACCGAGCCAAAACCAAGAAAACCAAGCAAAAACAGUUUGAACCAGUUUUUUUCUAAAAAAUCAAACUGAAACCAGUUAGUUUGAACCAGUUUUGAUUUUUUUUUAAUUUCAAUUUGAUUAUUUUUUUUGAUAAAAAUCAAACCAAACAAAAAAUAAACACCCUACUUGCAUAUAGGAAUAUUUGUCUUCACUUUCAACCUAACAAUUUAAAUAAUUCGGUUCUUGUUCUUGUUCUUCUUCUUGUUCUCAACCAAUGGAUUUCCAAAUCAUAAUUGCUUGCUUGUUUGGAACCAAAUUAUAUAUAAAAUCAAAUUUAAUUUUAUAUGUAAUUUAAAUUUAAUUAAUAACCUAUUAUAACUCUUAAAUUUGAAAUAAAAUAUUAAAUCACAUGAUUAAAUUCAAUUAUAAUAUUUAGAAUACAUGUGUAAUUGAAUUGAAUUAACAAUCUUGUCUGUUUUACUUUUACUUCAGAAAUCAUUUUUUUUUGUUACAAAAAAUAUAUUUCUGUUUGUUGAUGUGAAAAUAGAAUCCAUAACUUUUUUUUUUGAUAAAUCAUGAUGCAUGCAUGGUAUGAUAAAGACAACAAGCAAUAUCAACAUGAAUGACAUAGAAAACAUCAGGAAGAUUAUUAUUGACAACAUCAUAUUGUUUUUUUAGUAAUAAAGAUAUUCUCAUACCAAUUUUCAUUUAAUUCUCACAGAAUAAAACUAUUUCAUCUACUUUUAAAUAAGCUAUUUCACCAUAUAUAUGUAUAUAUAUAAAUAUACAUAAUUUUUUAAUUCAUAAUAAUAAAAAUUCAUUCUUGAUUCACUCUAUACCACUCAAUAAAAUCCAAAGAUAGUUCCCAACUUCCUAUCAUUAUUAUAUAUAACACCAAUCAUGCUACAAGGGAGAAACAUGGCAAGGACAUAUCUUAUUCUUUAACAUUGUAAUUAACCACAAACUGUUGACGUUGAAAUACGUCAUCCAUUUAUCUUCUUAUACUGUCGAUAGUUGUUGUCUACAAUUCACUUGGAUGGGCGAGAGAUGAUGUAACUCAAUUUUCUGUGAGUAGUUCUAUUCUAAUACCUCUUUUUUGUUGAACGUUAGGAUGGUGAUUUUGCUAGUUCUUGUUGACAGUUCCUGUUUCCUUAACAAUAUUUAUGGAAAAAAGCCACCCAAGACUAUGAAAAUGUGGCUGACAUUAUGACUGAUUUAACUGUUUCCCUCACGCAUGGGUCGCAAAAAGAAGUUAUCAGCGUUAUAAAUGUUACUCAUGAUAAUAUUUUAACUACCCAAUCAAUACAGAACUUGUUCACAACAACAAACAGAGCAAUUGAAGGGGAAAAAGAAGAGCUAAAAUCAUCCAAGAAGUUCCUUUCUGACUAAAACUUUAUCUCCAACAGCUUGCUAGAAGAAGCUCAAGACAUCCUUUGCGCAGCCUCCUUGGCUAAGACUCUCUCCUUAGCUUUGCUCUUGGCCAGAGAUUUGGAACCCAUGAUGCCACCGCCCCAUUUCUUUCGGUGCUCAUCAAACUUAUCAUUGAAGUUAGCCUUGACUGCCUCCAAAACCCUGCUAAAUUCCAAUUUAUCCUCAUUCUUCACUGAUGUGAGGCACAAAACUGAUGCUGUUUUCUUGUGGACAAUCGCUCCAAGACGUGACUUGCCCUUCACAAUUGCAUAAGGAACCUCCAUUUUCCGGCACAAUGCAGGCAGCCAAACAACAAGCUCAAUUGGAUCAACAUCAUGCGCGAUAACCACCAGCUGGGCCUUGUUCUGCUCAAUGAGGUAAGUAACAUGGUUAAGACCAUAUUUAAUAACAAUAGUCUUCUUUGUUUCCACAGUCUUCCCCUCAGCUUCAGCGUGUGCUCUCUUAAGAAGCCUUUCCUUCUUAGCAGCCUUGUCCUCAGGUCUAUAUUUUAGCAACAGCUUGAAAAGUUGUGUAGCAAGGUUCUUGUCAAGUGUUUUUGUGAACUGGUUAACAGCAGGAGGAACCUUCAAACGCUGUUUCAGAAUCCUUCUUUGCCUCUGAAUACGAACAACAUGUGGCCACUUGGCAAAUCUAGUCAAAUCCUUCUUGGGUGGAAGGGCACCACCAAUUCCAAACUGCUUUGGUCGUUUCUCAAACAAAGGGUUUACGACCUUUUC